rnacentral:rRNA from 1 species
UACGGGGGGGGCAAGCGUUGUUCGGAAUUACUGGGCGUAAAGGGCGCGUAGGCGGCCUGCUAAGUCGGACGUGAAAUCCCUCGGCUCAACCGGGGAACUGCGUCCGAUACUGGUGGGCUCGAAUCCGGGGGAGGGAUGUGGAAUUCCAGGUGUAGCGGUGAAAUGCGUAGAUAUCUGGAGGAACACCGGUGGCGAAGGCGGCAUCCUGGACCGGUAUUGACGCUGACGCCCGAAAGCCAGGGGAGCAAACGGG